AUGCAGAAGUAAGUAAGAGAGAGGGAGAAGGAAGCAGAUGGCAGCUAGUUGCUGGGGGGGGGGGGGCUGAUAAGAGCCCUCCAGGGCCUGAUUUGGCCCCCAGACUGCAUGUUUGACACCCUGCUUUAAAUGGGUUUUGCAAGCAGGAGCACUGGUGCCCCACAGACCUGAACUCCAAGAGAAAGAAAUGGUGCCACAGCUAUUGGUGCGAGGAAUUUAGCUAUGGGUUUGAGGAAGCUAUGGGACAGAAAUGAGAAUAUUUCUGUCUUUAGCUAUAGGUUUAGCUAUGGGUUUGAUGAAGCAUUACUAAGGAUACCCUUCCUACCUAGAUGUGUGCUGUCUGCUCUGAUUCCAUCCUGGCUAACUUUACCUUGGCAGACAUGUUAGGAGCCAGCAUACCUUGCUUUGGAGAAGGUGAGGUCAAGGCUCUCCUCAGGCUAUGCUAAUCAAUGGCCAAAACCAGGAGGCAGAUUCAUUGAUGGGACAUCUGCAUGUCUACCCUUUGCUACAGGGGCUUGCAAAGCCAGGCACCCACCUUAGUUUAUCAAGGUAAUUUCAUCAGAAAAUGCAAGGCUUCCUGAGUGCAAAGUCUUCACAGAGCCAGAUAAAAAUGGAAGCUGUGAGAAGCACUUGGAUGAAAACUUAUUCCGUUUUGAAUUCUAUGAAUUGACUUUAAAAUGUUCAUAUAUACACACCUGUUCUGAAGGAAAACACUGAUGGAAUUACUUUUAAUCUGUUUUUCAGAUGACUGAUAUCUCUGCAAAAAUGUUCAACGCACGUAGAAGGGAAGUGUUAAAAUACCUACCUGCUUUGAUUAUGUACAUUUGUCAAGUGCCAAGCUUAGGUGAAUUAUUUCCUGUUGUGACACUUGAGGAACCGUGAUGAUGGGGCAGCAAUUUGUAUGUGACUGAAUAAAAAUAAUGUUAUUUUAAA